rnacentral:rRNA from 1 species
AUGCGCAAGCGACAAUUCGGACACGAUGCAAACACGGGCAACUCAUACAACUCAUGCAUUCACUCACGGGCGUCGUCUCAGGGUUAUACCUUCGAAGCGUGCAUUUACGAAACGGAUCAAGUUUGUGGUGGUACACGUCUCGAAGAGGGACUUAGACGCAUCCAAGGUUUCCGGGGGCGGCGGGAGUGGAACUUGGCGAAUCCGAGUUCUUCGGAGGUCGUCAAGGUCGUCAUCGAACUUGGUCAAAUACAUGGCGUGGGUAGUCGUUCACUCGACGGCCUUUGGCAACGGUUGUCGCACACGUUUCAUAGACGUUCGAGUCAUCUGUAA